rnacentral:tRNA from 1 species
CACCUGUUGCCUGAAAGAAGAUCAAGUAAGACAAGACUGUAAAUCUUGAGGUCGCUGGUUCGAUCCCGGCUCGGGGGA